CUGGAGGGGUGUGUGGUCCGUCACAAGAGUAAAUCGCCGGCCCAAGAGGAGGAGGAAAGAAGGAGUUGGAAGAGUACAGAAAGUCACUAGCAAUUUGUAGGAAAGGUCAGUGUCACCUUCUGCCGGCUGCAUGAGGCAGCCGAUUCCCUAUCUACACAUCCCAUCUCUGGAGCAUGCAGCCACUAAAAAAAUCCAUGACUAAAGGACAUACAGGCCUUGGCUUGAAGUCAAACUGCCCUUACAGAGGAACACAUUACAUCAGGUGACUGUUUUAAAGAGACCAAGGAAGAGGAUCAGCACUGCCCCAAGUCCCAUCUUCAGAUGAGGACGGUUGAAAAGGAACUGAGGGGGUUGUGGGACGUGUGUGCUCAGGCAGACUAACGAGACCACGAGACAACAGCAGGCACUGCUACUGAAGAUCUCUGAUCAAUGGCGCUGGGACGCACCAUCACCUG